rnacentral:rRNA from 1 species
GUGACAGCAGCAUUGUGAGGGGCUCGGUCCUGGUCGAGAUCGUUGACCGCGAAUGCCCCGGACCCGGUCCUGCUAUUUUCAGUUGGUUUUGGCACGCGAGGACCAGGGUAAUGAUUAAUAGGGAUAGUUGGGGGCAUUAAUAUUUAAUUGUCAGAGGUGAAAUUCUUGGAUUUAUGAAAGAUUAACUUCUGCGAAAGCAUCUGCCAAGGAUGUUUUCAUUAAUCAAGAACGAAAGUUAGGGGAUCGAAGACGAUCAGAUACCGUCGUAGUCUUAACCAUAAACGAUGCCGACCAGCGAUUAGGAGACGUUGAAUACAAAACACCACCAUCGGUGCGGUCGUCCUUGGCGCGUCGUGGCUUGCUGCGGCGUGCGAGGGCGUUUAGCCUGAUGGCAUCGGUGAAUGACUCCCUAGCAGCUUGUGAGAA